CCUACGGGCGGCAGCAGUGGGGGAUAUUGCACAAUGGGGGAAACCCUGACGCAGCGACGCCGCGUGGGGGAAGAAGUAUUUCGGGAUGUAAAGCUCUUUUAGCAGGGAAGAAGAAAUGACGGUACCUGUGUAAUAAGCACCGGCUAACUACGUGCCAGCAGCCGCGGUAAUACGUAGGGUGCAAGCGUUAUCCGGAUUUACUGGGUGUAAAGGGAGUGUAGGCGGGCUGGCAAGCCUGAUGUGAAAGCCGGGGGCUCAACCGCCGGACUGCAGUGGAAACUGGCGGGCUGGAGUACCGGAGAGGUAGGCGGAAUUCCUAGUGUAGCGGUGAAAUGCGUAGAUAUUAGGAGGAACACCAGUGGCGAAGGCGGCCUGCUGGACGGUAACUGACGCUGAGGCUCGAAAGCGUGGGGAGCAAACAGGAUUAGAUACCCCAGUAGUC
rnacentral:rRNA from 1 species